rnacentral:rRNA from 1 species
GAUGAACGCUGGCGGCGUGCUUAACACAUGCAAGUCGAACGGUGAAGGCGGAGCUUGCUCUGCUGGAUCAGUGGCGAACGGGUGAGUAACACGUGAGCAAUCUGCCCCUGACUCUGGGAUAAGCGCUGGAAACGGCGUCUAAUACUGGAUACGAGCUGCGAAGGCAUCUUCAGCAGCUGGGAAGAAUUUCGGUCAGGGAUGAGCUCGCGGCCUAUCAGCUUGUUGGUGAGGUAAUGGCUCACCAAGGCGUCGACGGGUAGCCGGCCUGAGAGGGUGACCGGCCACACUGGGACUGAGACACGGCCCAGACUCCUACGGGAGGCAGCAGUGGGGAAUAUUGCACAAUGGGCGAAAGCCUGAUGCAGCAACGCCGCGUGAGGGACGACGGCCUUCGGGUUGUAAACCUCUUUUAGCAGGGAAGAAGCGAAAGUGACGGUACCUGCAGAAAAAGCGCCGGCUAACUACGUA